GGCCGCUUGGUCUAGUAGUAUGAUUCCUGUUUUGGGCUUGCUCUAAGUUACAGGAGGUCGUGGGUUCAAUUCCCACAGCGGCCC